rnacentral:rRNA from 1 species
AGAAUCAACGCUGGCGGCGUGCCUAACACAUGCAAGUCGAACGAGAAAGUGGAGUAAUCCAUGAGUAAAGUGGCGCACGGGUGAGUAACACGUGACUAACCUACCUUUUAGUGGGGGAUAACCUAGGGAAACCUGGGCUAAUACCGCAUAAUACCUACGGGUCAAAGCAGCAAUGCGCUGGAAGAGGGGGUCGCGGUCGAUUAGUUAGUUGGCAGGGUAAUGGCCUACCAAGACUGUGAUCGAUAUCCGGCCUGAGAGGGCGCACGGACACACUGGAACUGAAACACGGUCCAGACUCCUACGGGAGGCAGCAGUGGGGAAUUUUGCGCAAUGGGGGAAACCCUGACGCAGCAACGCCGCGUGGAGGAUGAAGUCCCUUGGGACGUAAACUCCUUUCGAUCGGGACGAUAAUGACGGUACCGGAAGAAGAAGCCCCGGCUAACUUCGUGCCAGCAGCCGC